rnacentral:rRNA from 1 species
GACGAACGCUGGCGGCGUGCUUAACACAUGCAAGUCGAACGGAAAGGCCCUGCUUUUGUGGGGUGCUCGAGUGGCGAACGGGUGAGUAACACGUGAGUAACCUGCCCUUGACUUUGGGAUAACUUCAGGAAACUGGGGCUAAUACCGGAUAGGAGCUCCUGCUGCAUGGUGGGGGUUGGAAAGUUUCGGCGGUUGGGGAUGGACUCGCGGCUUAUCAGCUUGUUGGUGGGGUAGUGGCUUACCAAGGCUUUGACGGGUAGCCGGCCUGAGAGGGUGACCGGCCACAUUGGGACUGAGAUACGGCCCAGACUCCUACGGGAGGCAGCAGUGGGGAAUACUGCACAAUGGGCGGAAGCCUGAUGCAGCAACGCCGCGUGCGGGAUGACGGCCUUCGGGUUGUAAAACGCUUUCGCCUGUGACGAAGCGUGAGUGACGGUAAUGGGUAAAGAAGCACCGGCUAACUACGUG